CUGGAUCGUUUGGAAGGAAAGAAACGAGAUCACCUUCGGCAGAGGAUUACCCAGAAGCACCACACAGCUAUUCAUGGCAGUGGCGGUUGAGGCGGAGGAUUGGGUCUCGGCGGGCUACCAAAGCUUGGCGGUGCCAUCGGCUCUCUGGUCGCUGGAAAAUGCUGUUUUGUAACGCUUCUUUGUUCCCCAGUAGCGUAGGUUUGCUUGCCUGCUUGUCUUGGUUUCUCGCCGCUGCAGCAAGUCUCUUGUAACACUUGGUUACUCCACUUCUUAAUGAAAUACGGGCUAAUCACCCAAUCUAAAAAAAAAG
rnacentral:lncRNA from 1 species